CUGGCUCAGAUUGAACGCUGGCGGCAUGCUUUACACAUGCAAGUCGAACGGUAGAGGGGCAACCCUUGAGAGUGGCGAACGGGUGAGUAAUGCAUCGGAACGUGCCCAGUAGUGGGGGAUAGCCCGGCGAAAGCCGGAUUAAUACCGCAUGAGACCUGAGGGUGAAAGCGGGGGAUCGCAAGACCUCGCGCUAUUGGAGCGGCCGAUGUCAGAUUAGCUAGUUGGUGGGGUAAAGGCCUACCAAGGCGACGAUCUGUAGCUGGUCUGAGAGGACGACCAGCCACACUGGGACUGAGACACGGCCCAGACUCCUACGGGAGGCAGCAGUGGGGAAUUUUGGACAAUGGGCGCAAGCCUGAUCCAGCCAUGCCGCGUGCGGGGAAGAAGGGCCUUCGGGGUUGUAAACCGCUUUUGUCAGGGGAGAAAUCUUCUGGGGCUAAUACCCUGGGGAGGGAUGACGGGUACCUGAAGAAUAAGCACCGGGGCUAACUACGUGCCAGCCGCCGCCGUAACG
rnacentral:rRNA from 1 species